rnacentral:RNase_P_RNA from 1 species
GUGUCGGCCAGGCAGUCGCGGGCGCCGGAGAGAAAACCGGCGUUCGAGGAAAGUCCGGACACCGAAGGGCGGGGUGGUCGGGAGACCGACCCGGGGAAACCCGCGGGAAAGUGCCACAGAAACACACCGCCUAAGCGACGGGGCCUCACGAGGCUCGAAGCAGCCGGUUUCGGCCGGCUGAUCCGGGAGCGUUAUUCCCCGCCGCCGGCAAGGUUGAAAUGGUGCGGUAAGAGCGCACCGGCGGCGUGGCGACACGCCGGCCAGGCAAACCCCACCCGGUGCAAGGCCAAGCAGGGACGAUGACGCUGCCCGCCGAGUCCCAGGUAGGCCGCAGGGCUGUGAUGCCCGCCCCGUCUCGCCACGGGGGAGAUGGAUGACUGUCCUCGACAGGAUCCGGCUUACCGGCCGGCUACCGGA